UCACUUCCAGAGAAGCUCCGGCCAUGUGAAGCGUCUCCUGGGGAGGAAAAAGCCGCGUUUUUGUUUCAGUCCAUCUAUGGGGCAACUCUGACAUUAAGGCAAUGUUUGCACUCUGCGAUCAGGUGUUUAAUUCCCUGAAGGCUUUAUCUGUGGAGUUUGGAUGAGGAGUUGAAUUAGGCAAGGAAAAAGCAAAUGAAAGGUUUUGAAAGUGGAAGGUCAGAGACGUUAUUCAGGGGGCUGUGUGGGCAAGGCAUUGACUGAUUUACCUGUCUACCCAGAAUCAAUUCUUAAUAUCAACAUAGAUGGACUUUUCCCAGGGAACGAGCCAGUUUACCAAGUAGCCUCGUGUGACCAAUUGGUGUUCCUUGAAAAAUAAUCCAUUGCCAGCAGACUUCACCACAAUCAGGAAGGUUCCACCACAGAUAAGCUUUUGGCAGCUGCUUCUACUCCAAAAGACAGCAACACCACCAUCUGCAAGUCUCAUGGAUACUGCCAGUUCCAGUGCUGCUGCCACAUCUCUAAUUGCCAAACAUCUGAUUGGCACAUCAGUAUUCCUUUGCUGAUUGGCACAUCAGUAUUCCUUUGCUGGUGUCCAUAACUUUUAAAGGAUCAAUCUGACCUUUUGCCCUCUUAACACAUUGUGUAACACCAACAUUCAAAACAAUCUGUACUGUUUCUGUUCUGCUUCUUCAAAGUCUUGCUUUCAAUUUUGUAGUGUGUCACAAAGAAAAUAAUUGCUUAUGUAUUUCUGAUAUUUGUGAAAGAUCUUUGUCAAAACUUGAGUGCUGCAAAUCUCAUUGAAGGCAGCUUGAGGCAGCUUACAGACAUUGAAGAAUAUCCAGAAUA